CGAGUUGUAAUUUGCAGAGGAUGCUUUGGAUACUGACCGGUGUAAAGUCCCUUGGAAUAGGGCGCCCUGGAGGAUGAAAGCUCCGUCCACAUCGGAUCCAACUUCCAUGUAAAGCUCCUUCAAAGAGUCGAGUUGUUUGGGAAUGCAGCUCUAAAUGGGAGGUAAAUUUCUUCCAAAGCUAAAUACCGGCUAGAGACCGAUAGCGCACAAGUAGAGUGAUCGAAAGAUGAAAAGCACUUUGAAAAGAGAGUUAAAAAGCACGUGAAAUUGUUGAAAGGGAAGCUUAUGUCAUCAGACUUGAUGCCGAAGUUCAGCCUUAUGGUGUAAUUUUUCGGCAUCAGGCUAGCAUCAGUUUAGACAGCUGGAUAAAAGCUUUCGGGAAUGUAGCUCUUCGGAGUGUUAUAGCCUGAUGCAGAAUAUGUCUCGUCUAGACUGAGGUCCGCUUUGAGGAUGC
rnacentral:rRNA from 1 species